rnacentral:lncRNA from 1 species
GCCGAGCAGGGAGGGGGCGCAGGCCGACAGACAGGCUGGCGGAGAGAGAGGGCGCUGUCUUCCUGGCAAAGCAGCCUUCGGCCUGCAGGAACCGAAACAAAAAAGGAACCGGGAGGGCCGGGCCGGGAUUUGGAGGAGCAGGGACCAGAGUGGCAGAGCACAUUCUCAGGCACGAACCGCGGGACCUGGGCGUGGGGGUCUUAGAAGGUAGAAGGGCUUCUUUAGCCUUCUAGCCCUUCCUCCCUUGGUCCCUUUCCUUCAGACUCACCAAGACAAGAAAGAUAUACCUAGUGACAGCCAUUCACAGCCAUCUCUGAGCCUCCAGAAACUAGACAAGAUGUGAGAAGAGCAUGCCGGGGCUCCUCCAAUUACCUGUUGGUGAACUAGAAAGUCGGGAUGAACACCUCUAGCUAAACUGUUCUCUCAAGUUCCCAUUUUAGGUAUUUCUACUGUUUGCCCACUGCCUAUUAGGCUGGAAGCUCACUAUAG